UACGGAGGGUGCAAACGUUGCUCGGAAUUAUUGGGCGUAAAGCGCACGUAGGCGGUUCGUUAUGUCGGAUGUGAAAGCCCUCGGCUUAACCGAGGAAGUGCAUCCGAAACUGGCGAGCUUGAGUACGGAAGAGGGUCUCGGAAUUCCCGGUGUAGAGGUGAAAUUCGUAGAUAUCGGGAGGAACACCAGUGGCGAAGGCGGAGACCUGGGCCGAUACUGACGCUGAGGUACGAAAGCGUGGGGAGCAAACAGG
rnacentral:rRNA from 1 species